AGAUGCUCUGGCUGAGUGAAAAAAAAAAAGAAAAAGAAAAAACAUCGCUCGAGAGAAAAAGAAAUGAGGCUUCCAGUGACCACCCUCCCUCACAAGCACAUCCUCCUCUGGUUCGGCCUCGUUCGAACCACGCCCUGAUGGUUUAGAGAGAACAACAAGAACAAGAUGGUUAGAAUAAGAACAAGAAGAAAAGAACGAGGACAAAAGCAGGAAGAAGAAAAACAAGGACAAGAUUAACAACAACAACAACAACAACAACAACAGCUGCUGCUACUACUACUACUACUACUACUACUACUACUACUACUACUACUACUACUCCCUUACUCUCAAUCACGGCUUUUCCGACAGCGCUAAUUAUUACUACACAAAGAAAACUUGAACACUAAGAACAAGAUAAAUAGAGACUGCAAACUUAGACGAACAAUAGCAACUAAAUCACGUGCUAGAAGAUGUGGUGGUGG